UUCUUCUUCUUUCUUUCUUCUUCUUUCUUCGACCCUUUCCUUUUCUGGUUGAUUUUGGGAGAUGAAGUAUUAUUCUGAGAUCGAGAUAACAAGAGUCCGAUCAUGAAUCAAGAGAUGGUGGAGGUGUCGUUGCUGUUUGAGUUAGGAGGAAGAAGAAUUGAGAAGCCAGUGAGUUAAGGUUUUUUGAAGUUGGGUUGUUUUCUGAGUUUGUGUAGAACGAGGAUGAUAUCGAGUUGUAACAACUGAAGAUUAAGAGGGUUGUUGGUGAAUUGAUGAGAUGAAGCAGUUUUGGCGAAGAAUCACAAAUCAGAAACAUCACAAAAGGGAAGAGUCGGAAAUCUCAAGAUAGUUGAACAAAAUGAUUCACAAAUUGCAAAUAUCAAUCAACAAUUUCAAGAAAAAUUGCGUAAAACAAAGAAUAAUCAAUUUAGGGUACGAUAACCAUGUUUUCUUCAAGUUUUUCAAGCAAGGAGAAGUCUGGACUGUGCAAUUUCCCCCAAGGAAAAUCCAGUUUGAACCAUCAGAGAGUGAUUUAUGUCAAGACAAGUGUGAAACUACACCUUGCGACAAUCUGCCAUGUUCUCAAUUUGAUGAAUUAUCUCUCAAGUUGAACCUUGUGUUAGAACAAGUUCGAGCACUAAGUUGUGAACUAAAUUCCUCUAUGAAGAAGCUUUAGGAGAAGAUAAAACUUGUUGAAUCCAAAUUGGACCUUAUUGAAGAGGAACUUAAUGAAUAUAGAAAUUGUGAGAACAAUAUGGAAUCUCAGAGUAAACUCUUUUGGUUCAUUUUUAUAGGAAACUUCUUGUGAGAAUUUAUUCUUGUGUUCAAGAAGGAUAACUAGGGUUUGGUGUAGCAAA